AGUAAAUUCUCUAGCCCAGGGUCCAGUUCCGAGUUCCAUCCUCACUUCCAGGCAGCCUGAAGCCAGCCCUUCCUGCUCCUUCCCCCGCCUCGAUACCACAUUUUAUGAGCAGACGCAUCUGUGGGUCGUUUCUCCCAUGAUGUCGGCACCUACUCUUCUCCCAGAUUGGAUGAACAUGGAACCACACUCUGUCUUCCUCUCCCUGCCUGGACUUACUCGCCACAUUUAAGCCUUUAUUCAUUUGGAAGUUAUACUGGAGGGUGUAACAGUUUCCUAGGGCUACUCUAACAAAGGACUGUAAACCAGGUGGCUUAAAACAAUACGUACUGUCUUGCCUUUCUGGAUGAGCCCAAAAAUCAAGGCGUGGGCAGCGCUGGUUCCUCCAGGAGAUCCUGAGCGAGAAACCUUCCUGUGUCUCAUCUUGGCUUCUGGCGAUGCUUGCCUCUCCUUGGCUGCUAGCUGCACCACUCUGAUGUCUUUGGAGGCCUUCUCUGUCUCUGUGUCCUCCCCUCUUCUUAUGAAAACAUCAGAUACUGGAUUCAGGAUACAGACUCCGUGAGAUCUUUAAUUACAUCCGCCAAGACCUUAUUAUUAUUACUUUUUAACAUUUGUCUAUUCACUUUUGGCUGCAUUGGGCCUCAGCUGUGGCAUGCAGGAUCUUUACUGCGGCACACAAGAUUUUUCUCUGGUGUGUGGGCUUCUCCCUAGGUGUGGCUUGAGCUCCAGAGCACGGAGUGGCUCAGUAGUUGACGCACUUGGGCUCAGCUGCCCCACAGCAUGUGGGAUUUCAGUUCCCCAACUAGGGAUCGAACCUGCGUUCCCUGCAAUGGAAGGCGGAUUCUUAACCAAUGGGCCACCAGGGGAGUCCUAAGACCUGAUUUCUAAUCAAAGUCACAUUCUAAGGUUCUGGGUGGGACAUGAAUUUAGGGGGAAACCAAUCAACCCAGCACGGUGUGGGAGGUAAAGGGAGGAUCCAGAUGAGCUUCAAAGAAUGAAAUAAGUGUUUUCCUGCUUUUUCUUAAAG
ensembl:lncRNA